CCUACGGGAGGCAGCAGUGGGGAAUAUUGCACAAUGGAGGAAACUCUGAUGCAGCGACGCCGCGUGAAUGAUGAAGGCCUUCGGGUCGUAAAAUUCUGUCCUAGGGGACGAUAAUGACGGUACCCUAGGAGGAAGCCCCGGCUAACUACGUGCCAGCAGCCGCGGUAAUA
rnacentral:rRNA from 1 species